AUUGAACGCUGGCGGCAUGCCUUACACAUGCAAGUCGAACGGUAACAGGUCUUCGGUUGCUGACGAGUGGCGAACGGGUGAGUAAUACAUCGGAACGUGCCCAGACGUGGGGGAUAACGAGGCGAAAGCUUUGCUAAUACCGCAUACGAUCUAAGGAUGAAAGCAGGGGACCGCAAGGCCUUGCGCGUUUGGAGCGGCCGAUGGCAGAUUAGGUAGUUGGUGGGAUAAAAGCUUACCAAGCCGACGAUCUGUAGCUGGUCUGAGAGGACGACCAGCCACACUGGGACUGAGACACGGCCCAGACUCCUACGGGAGGCAGCAGUGGGGAAUUUUGGACAAUGGGCGAAAGCCUGAUCCAGCAAUGCCGCGUGCAGGAUGAAGGCCUUCGGGUUGUAAACUGCUUUUGUACGGAACGAAAAGGCUCUGGCUAAUACCUGGGGCACAUGACGGUACCGUAAGAAUAAGCACCGGCUAACUACGUG
rnacentral:rRNA from 1 species